rnacentral:misc_RNA from 1 species
UAGGAAAGUCAUAAAUAUAUAAAUUAUAUUAUAUAAUUAAUAUAAUAAUAAAAUAAAUUAUAUAUUUUAUUUAUAAUAUUAUUUCUUUAUAAGAUAAAUAUUAUCUAAUAAUAUUUAUAAAGAAAUAUAUAUAUAUAUAAAAAGUCAUUAUAUAAAUUUAAUUAUAAUUUAAAUAAAUUUUAUAUAAAUUAAUAUAAUAUUAAUAAAGUAAUUAGUAUAAAUAAAUAAUAUGAAAAUAAAACUUAAUAAAUAUAUAAAUAUAGUCCAUAUAUAUAUAUUAAUAAAAAAAAAGUAAUAUAUAUAUAUAUAUUGGAAUAGUUAUAUUAUUAUACAGAAAUAUGCUUAA